GACACCUACGGGGCGCAGCAGUGAGGAAUAUUGGUCAAUGGACGAAAGUCUGAACCAGCCAUGCCGCGUGCAGGAUGACGGCUCUAUGGGUUGUAAACUGCUUUUGUAUUAGGGUAAACAUCCCUACGUGUAGGGGCUUGAAAGUAUAAUACGAAUAAGGAUCGGCUAACUCCGUGCCAGCAGCCGCGGUAAUACGGAGGAUCCAAGCGUUAUCCGGAUUUAUUGGGUUUAAAGGGUGCGUAGGCGGUUUGAUAAGUUAGAGGUGAAAUACCGGUUCUCAACACCGGAACUGCCUCUAAUACUGU
rnacentral:rRNA from 1 species